UACAGAGAGUGCGAACGUUGUUCGGAAUUACUGGGCUUAAAGCGCACGUAGGCGGCGCCGCAAGUGUUGGGUGAAAUCCCACGGCUUACCCGUGGAACUGCCUGGCAGACUGCGGUGCUAGAGGAUGGUAGGGGAGAGCGGAACUCCUGGUGGAGCGGUGAAAUGCGUAGAUAUCAGGAGGAACAGCCGGUGGCGAAGGCGGCUCUCUGGUCCAUGACUGACGCUGAGGUGCGAAAGCGUGGGGAGCAAACAGG
rnacentral:rRNA from 1 species